rnacentral:rRNA from 1 species
UACGUAGGGACCGAGCGUUGUCCGGAAUCAUUGGGCGUAAAGGGCGCGUAGGCGGCUGUACAAGUCAAAGGUGAAAUCCCUCGGCUCAACUGAGGAACUGCCUUUGAAACUGUACGGCUUGAGGCCGGGAGGGGGUAGCGGAAUUCCCAGUGUAGCGGUGAAAUGCGUAGAUACUGGGAGGAACACCAGUGGCGAAGGCGGCUACCUGGACCGGUUCUGACGCUGAGGCGCGAAAGCGUGGGUAGCAAACAGG